AUGAACGCUGGCGGCGUGCCUAAUACAUGCAAGUCGAGCGAACGGACGAGAAGCUUGCUUUUCUGAUGUUAGCGGCGGACGGGUGAGUAACACGUGGAUAACCUACCUAUAAGACUGGGAUAACUUCGGGAAACCGGAGCUAAUACCGGAUAAUAUUUUGAACCGCAUGGUUCAAAAGUGAAAGACGGUCUUGCUGUCACUUAUAGAUGGAUCCGCGCUGCAUUAGCUAGUUGGUAAGGUAACGGCUUACCAAGGCAACGAUGCAUAGCCGACCUGAGAGGGUGAUCGGCCACACUGGAACUGAGACACGGUCCAGACUCCUACGGGAGGCAGCAGUAGGGAAUCUUCCGCAAUGGGCGAAAGCUUGACGGAGCAACGCCGCGUGAGUGAUGAAGGUCUUCGGAUCGUAAAACUCUGUUAUUAGGGAAGAACAAAUGUGUAAGUAACUAUGCACGUCUUGACGGUACCUAAUCAGAAAGCCACGGCUAACUACGUG
rnacentral:rRNA from 1 species